rnacentral:rRNA from 1 species
CCUACGGGUAGCAGCAGUGGGGAAUAUUGGACAAUGGGCGAAAGCCUGAUCCAGCCAUGCCGCGUGUGUGAAGAAGGCCUUCGGGUUGUAAAGCACUUUCAGUGGGGAAGAAAGCCUUGGGGCUAAUACCCUCGAGGAAGGACAUCACCCACAGAAGAAGCACCGGCUAACUCCGUGCCAGCAGCCGCGGUAAUACGGAGGGUGCGAGCGUUAAUCGGAAUUACUGGGCGUAAAGCGCGCGUAGGCGGUCUGAUAAGCCGGUUGUGAAAGCCCCGGGCUCAACCUGGGAACGGCAUCCGGAACGGUCAGGCUAGAGUGCAGGAGAGGAAGGUAAAAUUCCCGGUGUAGCGGUGAAAUGCGUAGAGAUCGGGAGGAAUACCAGUGGCGAAGGCGGCCUUCUGGACUGACACUGACGCUGGGGUGCGAAAGCGUGGGUAGCAAACAGGAUUAGAUACCCUGGUAGC